rnacentral:rRNA from 1 species
UACGGAGGGUGCAAGCGUUAUCCGGAUUCACUGGGUUUAAAGGGUGCGUAGGUGGGUUGGUAAGUCAGUGGUGAAAUCUCCGGGCUUAACUCGGAAACUGCCGUUGAUACUAUCAAUCUUGAAUGUUGUGGAGGUAAGCGGAAUAUGUCAUGUAGCGGUGAAAUGCUUAGAUAUGACAUAGAACACCGAUAGCGAAGGCAGCUUGCUACACAAUAAUUGACACUGAGGCACGAAAAGCGUGGGGGAUCAAACAGG